rnacentral:rRNA from 1 species
UACGUAGGGUGCGAGCGUUGUCCGGAAUUAUUGGGCGUAAAGAGCUCGUAGGCGGUUUGUCGCGUCUGCCGUGAAAGUCCGGGGCUCAACUCCGGAUCUGCGGUGGGUACGGGCAGACUAGAGUGAUGUAGGGGAGACUGGAAUUCCUGGUGUAGCGGUGAAAUGCUCAGAUAUCAGGAGGAACACCGAUGGCGAAGGCAGGUCUCUGGGCAUUAACUGACGCUGAGGAGCGAAAGCUGGGGAGCGA